UACGUAGGGUGCGAGCGUUGUCCGGAAUUAUUGGGCGUAAAGGGCUCGUAGGCGGUUUGUCGCGUCGGGAGUGAAAUCAUCUGGCUUAACUGGGUGCUUGCUUUCGAUACGGGCAGACUAGAGGUAUGCAGGGGAGAACGGAAUUCCUGGUGUAGCGGUGAAAUGCGUAGAGAUCUGGAAGAACACCAAAGGCGAAGGCAGCGUCCUGGCGAGUCACUGACGCUCAGGUGCGAAAGCUAGGGGAGCGAACGGG
rnacentral:rRNA from 1 species